UUGAGCAUAUUUCCAUACUAGUUCUUCACCCCUAUAUAAAUAGUUAACCCGGGUCUGCAAGCCCCAAUAGGGCCAUUUCCCUGUCCCCACAGGGUCACCUAGGGUUAUCUAUUUUAGGGCUAGGUUCCGGACGGGGCCACCCCUUGCGGGGAUAGGACCCCGUGUUAGGAGGCACUUCAGGGCAUAAUAGGCCAAGUAGGGCAUUAACAGGGACAGACUUUUCCCUGUGGCCCUCUUGCACAAAGUGACCGCCAACUGGAGGACGUAUCCAGACGUGAGAACACCUCCCCCUGGGUAUUGGACUUGAAGGUCCUUUCGUCCACCACCGGUAAGACCCACCCUUAUCUCGCCUUAUGGCAUGUUCAUAGACCACGGCAUACGGCCACGGUCUCCAUUUUUGUUUAUGUCUAUAGGUCAUACAGUCCACCUUCCGCCCCACUUAGAGACAUGAACGUGGACCUGACCAUCAGGCGACCUGCCACCCCAGGUUCCCUGUUGUUGUGUGUUUUGUUUGUUUGUUAGGGGUUUCCUUCCCAUCAUUGGGAUCUUAAAUUAUCCUAAUAAAAGUUAGGUUUUAAUACGUUACUACCCCUUUUUUCACAUACUGUCUCUAACUUU